AUGAGGAUGAUUAUGCUUAUAGCACAAAAACUCGAAAUAUGCUCAGCCACAGCUGGAAGACAUCUGUACACAUUUGUGCAUUGGUUAAAAUUCCUGGAGUUUGGGACCCUUUUGUGAAGAGUUACGUAGAGAUGCUAGAAUUCCAUGGUGAUCAAGAUGGAGCCAGAAAGGUUCUUACCAAUUAUGCAUAUGAUGAAAAGUUCCCAUCAAAUCCGAAUGCCCACGUUUACUUGUACAACUUUCUAAAGAGAGAGAAGGCACCAAGAGCAAAACUGCUCAGUGUACUUAAGAUUUUGCAUGAACUUGUACCAUCUCAUAAACUGAUGUUAGAAUUCCAUAAGUUACUUAGAAAAUCAGAAAAAGAAGAACACCAUAAACUGGGUUUGGUGGUAUUAUUUCGCAUCUUGGAUUUUGCUGGAUGCACUAAGAACAUAACUGCUUGGAAAUACUUGGCAAAAUAUCUGAGACAGAUAUUAAUGGAAAAUCAUCUUGCAUGGGUUCAAGAAGAGUGGAACUCCAGGAAAAAUUGGUGGCCAAUCUUUCACUUCAGCUACUUUUGGGCAAAAAGUGAUUGGAAGGAAGAUAGAGAACUGGCUUGUGAGAAAGCUUUUGUAGCUGGGAUACUGUUAGGGAAAGGUACGUGUUUUUGUUUUCUUUUUUUAUCUUGACAUAGGUUUUGGCUGAUUUUGAAAUUACAAAGUAUGACCAUUCAUUCAUCUUAGAGCUUACUUACUGUGGUGUCUAUGGAUUCUAGAUAUUUGAGGAAGUAACUACUGAAUGGAAGAAUGAAACCUGAGUUUGCACCAGGUUGUAGAUAUUUUCGGUAUAUUUUAAAACAAGAUGAUCAAGUCUUAAGGAAGAAAAUUAAGCAGAUCAAGAAAUCAGUGAAAAAAUACAGUGUUGUA